AGCUUGCUGGGUGGAUUAGUGGCGAACGGGUGAGUAACACGUGAGCAACCUGCCCCUGACUCUGGGAUAAGCGCUGGAAACGGCGUCUAAUACUGGAUACGAACAAGAAUCGCAUGGUUACUUGUUGGAAAGAUUUUUUGGUUGGGGAUGGGCUCGCGGCCUAUCAGCUUGUUGGUGAGGUAAUGGCUCACCAAGGCGUCGACGGGUAGCCGGCCUGAGAGGGUGACCGGCCACACUGGGACUGAGACACGGCCCAGACUCCUACGGGAGGCAGCAGUGGGGAAUAUUGCACAAUGGGCGGAAGCCUGAUGCAGCAACGCCGCGUGAGGGAUGACGGCCUUCGGGUUGUAAACCUCUUUUAGCAGGGAAGAAGCGAGAGUGACGGUACCUGCAGAAAAAGCGCCGGCUAACUACGUGCCAGCAGCCGCGGUAAUACGUAGGGCGCAAGCGUUAUCCGGAAUUAUUGGGCGUAAAGAGCUCGUAGGCGGUUUGUCGCGUCUGCUGUGAAAUCCCGAGGCUCAACCUCGGGCCUGCAGUGGGUACGGGCAGACUAGAGUGCGGUAGGGGAGAUUGGAAUUCCUGGUGUAGCGGUGGAAUGCGCAGAUAUCAGGAGGAACACCGAUGGCGAAGGCAGAUCUCUGGGCCGUAACUGACGCUGAGGAGCGAAAGGGUGGGGAGCAAACAGGCUUAGAUACCCUGGUAGUCCACCCCGUAAACGUUGGGAACUAGUUGUGGGGUCCAUUCCACGGAUUCCGUGACGCAGCUAACGCAUUAAGUUCCCCGCCUGGGGAGUACGGCCGCAAGGCUAAAACUCAAAGGAAUUGACGGGGACCCGCACAAGCGGCGGAGCAUGCGGAUUAAUUCGAUGCAACGCGAAGAACCUUACCAAGGCUUGACAUAUACGAGAACGGGCCAGAAAUGGUCAACUCUUUGGACACUCGUAAACAGGUGGUGCAUGGUUGUCGUCAGCUCGUGUCGUGAGAUGUUGGGUUAAGUCCCGCAACGAGCGCAACCCUCGUUCUAUGUUGCCAGCACGUAAUGGUGGGAACUCAUGGGAUACUGCCGGGGUCAACUCGGAGGAAGGUGGGGAUGACGUCAAAUCAUCAUGCCCCUUAUGUCUUGGGCUUCACGCAUGCUACAAUGGCCGGUACAAUGGGCAGCAAUACCGUGAGGUGGAGCGAAUCCCAAAAAGCCGGUCC
rnacentral:rRNA from 1 species